rnacentral:rRNA from 1 species
UACGGGGGGGGCAAGCGUUGUUCGGAAUUACUGGGCGUAAAGGGCUCGUAGGCGGCCAACUAAGUCGGAUGUGAAAUCCCCAGGCUUAACCUGGGAACUGCAUCCGAUACUGGAUGGCUUGAAUCCGGGAGAGGGAUGCGGAAUUCCAGGUGUAGCGGUGAAAUGCGCAGAUAUCAGGAGGAACACCUGCGGCGAAGGCGGGUAGCUGGGCCGACACUGACGCUGAGGCGCGAAAGCCAGGGGAGCGAACGGG